ensembl:lncRNA
UGCAAGCUUUUAAUAGUUCAGAUACCAUUGGGAUAAUUUCCCAUCAUGGCAGCCUCGGCAGUGAACAGUAUGCAGGCCCAGACACUCUAUGCUUGACAGCACUGAUAAUGUGGCCGUGUUGGAAUCCAUGAUGGAGUGAGUUGAAUGGUGAACACAACUGUGAACUAGAAAGCAGUACAUGUGACUGCAUUUAAAAAAACUGUUUGGGCCCAAGGUCAAAAGAGAGAUUAUGAAGUACUACUGGCAUCUAGGAAAGAUUCCACCCCAACUCUCCCUCUCUUCAUCCCCCUUUCAUUUGGUAACUGAAGGGGCUGGGUGAGAACAUUGCCAAGGCUGGAAGAUCCAGAGCACAGGUGGGAUCUGCUUCCUUUUUGGCAGACUAGGGAUCUGGGUAACAGCAUACUGUUUUGUGGAAAUAAAAUAAAGAAACACAGUCAACAAGACAAAUGACAGCCCACAGAAUAGAAAACGAUCUUCACCAAACCCACAUCUGACAGAGGGCUGAUCUCUAAAAUUUACAAAGAACUCAAGAAGCUAGUCAACAAAACACCAAAUAAUUCAAUUGAAAAGUGGGGUAUGGAGCUAAACAGAGAAUUUUCAACAGAGGAAUAUAAGAUG